UAACGCGUGGAUAACCUGCCGUAUACAGGGGGAUAACACUUAGAAAUAGGUGCCAAUACCGCAUAAGCGCACAGCUUUGCAUGAAGCAGUGUGAAAAGCAAAAAGUUAAAACUUUUAGCGGUAUACGAUGGAUCCGCGUCUGAUUAGCCAGUUGGCGGGGUAACGGCCCACCAAAGCGACGAUCAGUAGCCGGCCUGAGAGGGCGGACGGCCACAUUGGGACUGAGACACGGCCCAGACUCCUACGGAAGGCAGCAG
rnacentral:rRNA from 1 species